ACUAAGGCAAAAACUAAAGAGAGUUUCGGCCAAAGAGGAGAAAAAAAAAUUCUUGAAAUUUCAUCCCCAAAAAUUAUAAUUUCUUGGUAUUUCCACUAAAUCAAGGGUCCUCUAUAACAUGGUAAAUUUAUUUUGGAAGAUAGAAGGCUUGUUUGGUUGAUUUGGAGCUUUGAUUAAGUGAAGAAGUUAGAAGAAAAAGAUUUUGGUGGAAACGGGAAUUGGAGUUGGACAACCGUAAAAAGCCAAUAAGGCUGUGUUACAUGCCCGCAGGUACCGAAGUUCGAUUUGCUGAUCCACCUAUUUAGGACAUUUGCUGCGUCGUUGACAGUGCUCCCUUGUUCGGAGCUUGUAUUUUGGUACUGACUUUAUCUCUGUAUAUUUGGAUAUGUUGGUCAGGGGUACGACGGGGCUCUGUCCCGUCAUAUAACUAUGUUAUCAUCUGUAGAGGUCUAUAGACAGAGUUAUGUUGUGGGUUUCGUAUAUAUGGUUUGGGUUUUGUGUAUUUGUGACGGCCUAUCAGCUCUCGUGCCUAUAUCUACUUUUAUGAUUUGUUUAGCAAUUUCUUAUAAUCACUACCUAUAUUUAUUCGGUUAAAAUGGCUAAUUUGGGAUAAAAGUACGUUUGGGUGCUCAAUUAGGGCACCAGUCGCGGCCUAUGGGGUUGGGUCGUGACAGAUAUGCUCUUCAUAUUUUGCAUCAAUUGUAGUGUUGCAAGCCACAACGAGGGAGCACAAUAUAAGAUUGAAUCAUGGUUUACUUUAGAGAUUUGACUUCUUCUUCUUUAGGGUUGUGGUACCUAGUGAUAUCAAAUCAUAAAGACAGUGUUGUGGAGACCAAACUGUUUGUAAGUACGAACUUAGCUGGCCAAUAUGCUGCUCCAUGGCCAUCUUUGGGGGAACUUCCUGGUUUAGAUGAUUAGACUCUUGAAUAUAACAGUCGUUCUCCCGAGACGUGGGUAUUUUGCACUCCUAAUCAUCGUACCAAAAAUAUUGCAACUUCUUUACCAUGUUUGGAAAGACGAAUCAUUAAUGGAGAGACUCGAUGGGAUGACACUUUCACACUUGAUGGAGAGUUUCACUAUAUUUCAGGCUAUUGGGAGUAGGCUGAAGAUAUCCUUAGCAGGAAUUGCCAGACUUUGAAGGAUGCAAAAAUAUAUGAUGCUGUAUAUGGUUCACUUUUUACUUAUGAUCGUAACACUAACAUCUUACAAGUCUUCUACGAAGCUUGGUAUCCUGUUAUAAAUAUACU